CGCGGCCGCGGUGGCCGAGAAGCGCUCGAGGGUCAGCGGGUCCCUGGGCAGGUGAAGGUGCGGGGCGGCCUCAUGCAGGCUGAGUCUUUUGCAGAUGACGCGGAGACAGAAAGGUCAAGUAACUCUCCUGAAGUCACACAGCUGUAUCAAAUGCAGGAUGUCUCACACCAGGACCGCGCCAGGGCCAUGGUGUGGGGCAAGACCUUCCUGUCACCCCACACCUCCCAGCAGGAAGGUGGUGUGGAUCCGAGGCAGGGUGAGGGUGGGGGAUAGCGGGUUGGCAGGGUGCACGGCCUCCCACUAGGAGGAGCAAGGCUAGUGAAGCAGGACCGGCCACACCACGUCCACCUUGGUGCCUUCUGACAGGUCAGUCUGGGCCCCAGUCCCUGGUUCCUGGUGAGCUUCCUGUCACCCCACACCUCUCUGCGUGCCCAGAUCGGCAUUGCAUCUGGAGCGUUCCGAAGAGAAACACAACCUGGGGGCGUUGGUAACAGCAGGUGAGACAGCCUUGUCCUGGCCUGCUGUGCCGUGUUGCAUCCACUAGAAAGGGGCCUCCUGUUCUGACCCCGGCCCCUGCCCUUGAGAUGCAGCUGGCAUGUCCCUGUGGGCAUCUCCCAGAGCAGGUCCAGGGGUGAGUGGGCCACAGGCCUGUUUGCACAGGUGCCUUCUUCGAGGGAGGGAACAGCCCACCACCACCUCCUGCCAGACCAGCUUCCUUGAGCAUAAACCUGACCCUGGGUGACCACGCUGGGCUCCUUCACCUUAUCUCACCAGAGGCUUCUGCUGGUCCCACAGUCAACCUGCGGAGUGAGGUCUGGGCCAGGAGUGCUCUGCUCAGACAAGGAACAUGCCCAGAAGCCUCCCCCGCUAUCCUGGCCUUGUUCUGUGGGGGCUCGUUGGUCUGUUGGGGUCUGGGGGGCCAGGUGGGAGUGUGGGUGACCCUUCCUUAUGUGGCCACCCUUGGCCCUAUCAGCCUGUAUGCAUCCAGGACACCAGCACAUCCCUGACCCCAGCUGUGGCUGCCAGUGAGUUCCUGUGCCUUCCUCUCCUGAAGUCUGUGUCUUCUCCCAGGUCUGAUACCAUGUGGAAAGUCUGCUCCUGGGGCCAGCUGGAGGCCAUGUGGACUGGCCCUGAGUGCCCACUGUCUGGCUGCAGCCGUGACCCUACUGCCCGUGUGUGGGCUACUAGGUUCACCUGCACCUGACCCUCCUUCUAGGUUCUCCUGCACCUGACUCCCUGAUGCUCACACAGUGAUUUGGGGAGGGAGGCUGGGGAGGCGCAGGUCUGCAUGGCAGUGCCUCUCAGGGUCUGAGGCCCUUGGGCCAGGCCUCUCCUCUGACCUGGGCCAGCAGAGGGGCCUCCUUUCCCUUCCAAGAGCCCUCCCCUGUUCACCAGCAUCUCAUCAUGCUCAGGCCCACAGUGUGGUUAAGGAGGGGCAUGGGGCUGGCCCUGGGUUUCUGGCUGGGUGUGGGGGCCUACCCGGGCCCAUGGUGUCUUCCAGAAAAGACCCAGACUGGGUCCAAAGCUGGAGGCACCCCUCUAUCUUCACUGUCCACUCCCUGAUGUUCUGGAGGUCCCUCCAGGGGCUGGGUGAGGAGGCCUUCCCCACCACCUCCUUGUCUUCCUGGGAAGCAGGCACCUGUUCGGAGGCCACUUUCCCACAGGAGCAGGCUCCUCACCCUCAGCAUCACCCUUUUCCGCGGGGUUGUGCCCCUUCCUUGGUCCUGUCCACUCACACACUCAUAUCCUGUGUCCACUCACACACACCCGUGUCCGUGUCCAUGUUCACACCUGUUCUGUGUCCACUCCCACAGACCUGUGUCCACUCCCACACCUGUAUCUCGUGUCCACUCGCUCACACCUGUACUGUCCGUGCCCACUCACACGUGUCCUGUAUCCACUCGCUCACACCCGUGUCUCAUGCCCGCUGGCUUACACCAGUCCCGUGUUCACUUGCGCACCUGUGUCCCAUGUCGUGUCUGCUCGCACAUCUGUGUGAUGUGUUCACUUGCUCACACCUGUCCCGUGUCCUCCACUCGCACACCUGUGUCCCAUGUCCACUCACACACCUGUCUUGGUCUGGGACACCUGGGCCCCACUCUCCCCUGCACUCCUCAGGCUGGCGGCAGAGGCCAGAGGAACAGAGUUUUGGCGCUGGAAUCAUCCUGAGCGAGGCAGGGACCUGGCGGUGUGGACUUCCCCGCCCCUCCUCCGGCCCACCGAGCCCCGCCUGCCUGGGCCUUGGUGCCUCUGUCGCUGCUCCGGGUCCCCCUGCUGGGGCCCCUCCGCCGCUGGGCUGAGGCUGGAGCCUGCCUCCCGCCACCAGAGGGAGGAGGUCAUAAAUAACCCUGGGGCUGCCAUGGAGCAGACGGUGACCCCAGACGUCCUGGGGGAGUGUGGGGGCGCCAGGGGCCGCUGCCCCAGCCCACGCCGCCUCCGCCAUCCGGGAGUGCCUGCCCAGGCUCCCCAGCAUUUCUCUUAGAGCCCUUCUCAUCCAUCCCCUCAUCAAUCAAUCAACCAUUUAUUAAGCCCAGAUGUGGUACAGCCCCAGCCGGAGAUGACCCAGAGGUGGGGUGGGGAGGAGAGAGAUGGGGAAGCUGAGUCCGGGGCCACAGGUGCAGCCAGGAGGUGCAGGUGAGCAGCGCUCAGGCCAGCGUGUCAGCCUCAGUCCUGAGCUUACUUCUGGUGAUGGAGGGAGAUAUACAGAAAAGAUCCUGCAGCCUGCAGGUGUGGCACAGCUGAUCUUGGGCCAAGGAUGCACAGCUGUGUGUGUGCCUGGCCACCGGCAAGGGCAAGCGGGCUCAGAAGCACAGGUGUGCCCACACCCUGCGUGCCUGUGUGUGGCGCAGCAGCUCCCGACGCGCGCAGGACACACACACAGCACAGACAGACCCUCCCAUGGCCACACGGACAAAAAUGGCUUCACUGUAGACGCCGGUGCAGACAGGAUGUGCACUGCUUUCCAAGGCCUGUGCGCAUCAGCACCGCACGGACCUAGUCACACGUGAUCCUCAGCCAAGGUGGCCUGUCCAGUCCUGGUGCUGUUGGAUGGAAAGGCUAACCCGGGAGGUCAGGGGUCGUGGUAUAUCAGCUGGGCUCCCUCAGACGCUCCUGCAGAAGUGGCCAGGACCUCAGGAACGCACCUGCUCCUGGUCAGACAGGAGGGGCUGCUGUGAUGCAACUUGCCCGUGCCUUUGGGUGCUGUGAGCUGGCUGCGCGCCAUGUCGUUUCGAGGAUGCAAGAAGGUGUUUCCAAGUCCAGUCUGUCCACCGACCUGAACCUUUACCAUUGAAAGAACAAAGGGGUGGGGCCCGAGGGACCCUUCCCUGCCAUCCCGUGGUGUGUAGUCAGGGAUGCUCCUGCAGACACACAGGUGGGCUCUGACUGCCAGAUCGCAGGGGCGGUGCCGUGGUCCUCACCUGCCAUGUCACUAGCGUGCUGACGUGGACACUGGCGAGAGCGAGAGUGCUCGGCCUGGCACAUCCCAGACAAUUCCUCUGUAAAUGGUGCAGCAGCCAGAGGCCCCAGCACCUUGAGGUUAAGCAAAGAGAAGGAAUAGAGUUCUCCAGAGCCCCAAGGAGCGGGAGGUUCUGUCCCAAUGGAUGGGCUCAGCCAAUUUCACCCUCUUCUCCCCCUGCCAACACUGCGGCCUGCAGCCUGGACCUGGCCCGGGUUGUGGAGGGGACCGGGGAUGCAGCUGCCACCUGCUGGGCGGACGUGGGCCUAGGUGGUCCUCAGCCCUCAUGACAGGAGCCCCCGAAGCACUGUUGCGGCACCCUCUCUGACAUUGGGUGGGAGACUCUGGGAGCCGAGUGCAGAGCCAGGGCCCAGCACGCAGGCCUUGGGCUCCAGUCCGUGUGCCCCACAUCUGGAAUGUGCCAGUAGGGCCCGGUGCGAGAGAAGAGCGGAUCCCUACAUGAGUGAGGGUGGAGGGAUGGUGCCUCUGCCACGGCCACGGUGCCGCCGUCCACGUCAGCUCACUCUCAGCACAGAUGCUGUGUGACGGCCUCGGGCCACGCCACUUGUUCUGAGGCCCCUAGCAGGUCGGGCUUGUGCUGGCUGCACAUUGACUGGCUGGUGAGCUUGGCGGGUCUGUGGGCACGGAGAGACCAGAACGUGCGAAACAGGCCCAAUGAGGGUGCCAGGCUGCGGCAACCCCCGAGCUUCAGAGGAGGGGGCACCAGCCGGGGGCCCUGCACAGACAGCCUCAGAGAGAGGAAAGCUCACGAUCUGGGAGAACUCCAGGCCUGGCCCAGCGAAGACGUCCUUAUCUUCAGCAGACAUUGCCCAGUGCAAGGGGAGGUCAGUCUCAGGAGACAGUCUCCUGGACAGUGGCGUGGCAUCUGUCCUAAGGCCUUGCCUGCAGCACAGGGUGCCACAGAGGUCCCCUGUGACAGAGCCUCAUGGCUGGGGCAGGCAGGGGUCGCACCUGCUCCUGCAUGAAGAGGCAGAUAAAGACCCACAGCGUGGUCUCUGGGGUCCCACAUCCCAGGUAGAGAAUGACCCAGGUCGCUGGUGUCUGUGCCAUCUCUGCUCCACUGACCACUCAUGGGGGUCCUGGAGAUCCUGACACCAGUGGCCGGGGAGCAGCAGCCCAGGCACAGGCCCCAGUGCACACGCAGAUCCCACCGUGUCUGCACAAGGCCUUGCCCCAACGAGGCCUGGGUGCCGUGUGAGGGCCGGGACGCUAACACAGCGGAGGGUACCCACGCGUGAGCUGCUCUGGGGUCCCUCCCUGUGUUUCUUCCGGUAAUGAAACUUGUACCCAAAUGGGAUAUGCAGGGUUGCACUGUGCAGUCGCUGUGUGUUUAAGGGUCUCAUCCCCAUGUGCGCCAGCAGGACCACAGCUGUGACCGGCUGCUCCAGAAGAAGUGGGUGGGUUGAGACCCCACCGGCAGCGUCACUGGGGGCAGCAGGCCCUCUGUCAGCACUGACUUCUGUAUCAUGUCAGGGAUUUUUAGGGUGGCAAGCUCAGGUGGACAGGCAGUUUUAUUCUGUUUCCCAUGUCAAGUCCAGCCCCAGACUGACUUUCUGAAGUCACAGACGGAGCCUCACCCCAUCCAAGGCGGUGUCCUGGACUCCCACUGUGCUCCCCAGAGGGCAGGGUGAGUGCAUGGCAUCCUUUUGGCGGGCGUGGGUGCCUCUGUGGACCUGGCGUGAGGCUUCUCUGUUUCUGAGUCUCCUAUGGACCAUCUGUCUUCUGUGUGGCUGCUGAGGAAUCACACUGGGGUGGCCGUGCAGGUGGCUGAAUGAGAACAGGACCCUCAUGCUGCACAGCCCUGCUUAACCCGGGGGUGGCCCCAGAAGCGGGUGGGCAAGGCUGGGCAGCAGGGAUUGGCUGAAAUCGUAUGCAGAGCCCAAGAGGCAGGGGAAAGGCGGCAAUUUCAGGGUCCCUUUGUUCGCCAGGUACCUGGGGCCCAGCCUGGGCGGCAGGAGGGACUCAGCCGCUCGCCCAGGCAGGAAGGGUUCCAAGCAGAGGCCCCUCCCUCAGGCACUCCCCAGCCCACACCUGCAGCACUGGGACCAAGACUAAUAAAACACCCGCCUCACGGAAGACAGCUUUAUCUUGUUGAUCGGAAGUCUGCCAGCCCAAUUUAUGAUGGAACAUAAGAUCUCUAAAUCUGAAUUUACGCUCUGUAGCAUAACGAGAGGUCAAUAAGAUUAAACGGGGGCUCAGGAGAGGACCAGCGUCAGGCUCACUGCGAGGUGCUGCACAGAAAACCCACAGCCAGAGCCCCUGGGCCCAGCCCAGGCAAGACCAGAAAAGGAGGGGGCAGGUGGGAGACCAGCCUGGGGCUCCCGGGAAGCCCACAGGAUGGAGGCGGGAGAGCCAGGAGGCCUGGGGCAACCCUGGGACGGUUCCUGGGUUCCUGGAUGGAGGAGAGCAGGGGGGUGAUGAGAGUUCCCUCAGGGCUGGGGAGCCUUCUCCUGGUCUCAGACCCACCCCCCUUCAGCUCCCAAGCCCUGGGUGCCCCUGGCUCUGAGGACAGUUGGGAAUCUUCCCUGAGACAGGUUCAAGGACAGAGCUGUGACCCUGGCCCAGGGCUGCUUUGGGUGCCCAUGAACUCGGCUUCUGGCUCAGAGCAGUUCCCUGCACCCGUUCCUGAGCCCUCUGUCCUCUGGAACCCAUGGGCAGGUUGAGGGACGGGUGCUCCGUCUGGGUGGGGGCCUGGGCACCCAGCCAGCACGAGGCUGGCUUGCUGAGCUUAGGGCAGACCCCGACUUCAGAAUUUAUACAAAUAAAUGCAAUGAAAAGUGCUGGCAGCCUGA